rnacentral:rRNA from 1 species
CUCGUAGGUGGUUGAUCGCGUCGGAAGUGUAAUCUUGGGGCUUAACCCUGAGCGUGCUUUCGAUACGGGUUGACUUGAGGAAGGUAGGGGAGAAUGGAAUUCCUGGUGGAGCGGUGGAAUGCGCAGAUAUCAGGAGGAACACCAGUGGCGAAGGCGGUUCUCUGGGCCUUUCCUGACGCUGAGGAGCGAAAGCGUGGGGAGCGAACAGGCUUAGAUACCCUGGUAGUCCACGCUGUAAACGGUGGGUACUAGGUGUGGGGUCCAUUCCACGGGUUCCGUGCCGUAGCUAACGCUUUAAGUACCCCGCCUGGGGAGUACGGCCGCAAGGCUAAA